rnacentral:rRNA from 1 species
GAUGAACGCUGGCGGCGUGCCUAAUGCAUGCAAGUCGAGCGAACGGACGAGAAGCUUGCUUCUCUGAUGUUAGCGGCGGACGGGUGAGUAACACGUGGAUAACCUACCUAUAAGACUGGGAUAACUUCGGGAAACCGGAGCUAAUACCGGAUGAUAUUUUGAACCGCAUGGUUCAAAAGUGAAAGACGGUCUUGCUGUCACUUAUAGAUGGAUCCGCGCUGCAUUAGCUAGUUGGUAAGGUAACGGCUUACCAAGGCAACGAUGCAUAGCCGACCUGAGAGGGUGAUCGGCCACACUGGAACUGAGACACGGUCCAGACUCCUACGGGAGGCAGCAGUAGGGAAUCUUCCGCAAUGGGCGAAAGCCUGACGGAGCAACGCCGCGUGAGUGAUGAAGGUCUUCGGAUCGUAAAACUCUGUUAUUAGGGAAGAACAUAUGUGUAAGUAACUGUGCGCAUCUUGACGGUACCUAAUCAGAAAGCCACGGCUAACUACGUG